CCUACGGGAGGCAGCAGUGGGGAAUCUUGCGCAAUGGGCGAAAGCCUGACGCAGCCAUGCCGCGUGAAUGAUGAAGGUCUUAGGAUUGUAAAAUUCUUUCACCGGGGACGAUAAUGACGGUACCCGGAGAAGAAGCCCCGGCUAACUUCGUGCCAGCAGCCGCGGUAAUACGAAGGGGGCUAGCGUUGCUCGGAAUUACUGGGCGUAAAGGGAGCGUAGGCGGAUAGUUUAGUCAGAGGUGAAAGCCCAGGGCUCAACCUUGGAAUUGCCUUUGAUACUGGCUAUCUUGAGUGUGGGAGAGGUAUGUGGAACUCCGAGUGUAGAGGUGAAAUUCGUAGAUAUUCGGAAGAACACCAGUGGCGGAGGCGACAUACUGGCCCAUUACUGACGCUGAGGCUCGAAAGCGUGGGGAGCAAACAGGAUUAGAUACCCUGGUAGUCCACGCUGUAAACGAUGAGUGCUAGUUGUCGGCAGGCAUGCCUGUCGGUGACGCAGCUAACGCAUUAAGCACUCCGCCUGGGGAGUACGGUCGCAAGAUUAAAACCUUAAAGGAAUUGACGG
rnacentral:rRNA from 1 species